GACUCAGGUGAAUUACAAGUUGACAAAAGGUUUAAUCUUUCUUUUUUCAGAUUGCAAUUCACUUCUGAAAUGGUCCCCAUACUUCAAUAAAGAAAAAGUCUUACCUGCAUAAUCUGAUCAAGAAUUUUGAGAAGAGCAAAGAAACUAGAUCUAUAGAGAGGCACAUGCAUUCUGUAGCCAACUGGAAUGACCUGAGAAGCUUACAAGAACUCCUGAUGCCUGACCUUCACCCCCCAGAACUGAUGUGACCUGGGAUCAAGAGGUUUUGAAAGUCCUCAGAUGGUUCCAAGGUGCAGCCAAGUUUGAGAACCACGAGGCAGGAAACACAGGAGGCUUGUUCUACUCCCUGUCUUCUGAGGCACCUACCAAGAGGGGUGCCUGUUCCUUCUGUGGGCCAUGAUUCACCAGAGUCCAGCACAUGUUUCUGCAUGGAGCUCCAUGUCACUGUGGUGUCCUCGACUCCCCACAGCACAGGGGAACAGGGAUACACCCUGCACCACCUUUCUCAGUAAAGAGCUCCUGGGGCCGUCUGUCCGCUGGCAUUGGAUUAGGGCUGAGCGCCCUUGCCUCAGGAGGUGAAAGCAGUUUGUUGUAUCUGAUGGGAACUGAGGCAGAAUAUUCACCGUCAGGGCAUGCGGAAGAGUGAGAACAUGGCAGUGCCCUUCUGAGAUGGCCCCAGUCCUUCCGUAAAGAAAACCAGCCUCACUUCACAGUCUGACAGACAGUCCUGGGCAGACCAAGGGGACAGGACUGAGGUAGCAGCGCUCAGCCAUGGCUCCCCAUCAUAAGGAUCUGAGAAGAUUUUAAAGAUGUGGAUCCCUGAAUGUCCCCCCUAGGGCCUUAGUCAUCCACCUUGUGUAACCAUGAAGUGCCUGACCGAAGUCACUGCAAGUUGGACAGCACCUGGGGAGUCACAGUGACUGUCAAACAUUUCAGGGCGACAUUUCAUAGCACUCUGCCAGUUCC
rnacentral:lncRNA from 1 species